rnacentral:rRNA from 1 species
CGUAACACGUAUGUAACCUACCUUAUCCAGGGGGAUAGCCUCUCGAAAGAGAGAUUAACACCGCAUAACAUUAUUGAACAGCAUUGUUUAAUAAUCAAAUAUUUAUAGGGAUAAGAUGGGCAUGCGGGACAUUAGCUAGUUGGCGGGGUAACGGCCCACCAAGGCGACGAUGUCUAGGGGAUCUGAGAGGAUGACCCCCCACACUGGUACUGAGACACGGACCAG